GUCGUAACAAGGUUUCCGUAGGUGAACCUGCGGAAGGAUCAUUACCAUAAUACCAAAACCAAAAAAAAACAAACUACGAAGAGGAAACGUGACGUUCGUGUAUACGUCGUUGCGUCAGUACUCUUUGUAUGUCUCGUGAUACUUAACAACUAUCAUAUUUUAUCCAUUAUGCUUCUUUCACGACGUAGACGUAACAGUCUGAAGUAAUCGAAGAUACCAAAUGUAACUAGAGAACUAGUGACGAAAUCUGUCAGUCAUGACAUGAUUAUCUAAUAAUCAAUGACCAAACAGUUUCAGCAACGAAUGUCUAGGUUCCUA
rnacentral:misc_RNA from 1 species